UGUUCCCGGGUCCAAGUGGACUCGACUUCCCCGCUCGAGGCCUAAUCGGCCUCUCUCUCUCUCUCUCUCUUCGGAAGCUGACACCGAAACCACCUCCUCCUCCUCCGGCAUCCCCAAAGAUGUUCUCGUUGCUUCCGGAGAACGUUGUCUUUUCUCUAGCGAACCCGGCAUCCCCGAAGAUGUUCUCGUUGCGGCCGCAGAUCGGCCCUUUCUCUAGCGAUCCCCGGGCACCGGCGCUCACUCCUAGCUCGACGAAGCCCCCAGCGACCCUCUUCCGUCGUCUCCGUGCUCACGAGCGAGUCACCCAACAUGUCCCCCGCCUUCGCGCCUCCAAAUCUUUCUUUCCCUGUACUGGUAAAUGGAUGCACUGGAAAAAUGGGGAGAGCUGUUGCAGAAGCAGCGAUUUCUGCUGGACUUCAGUUAGUUCCUGUGUCAUUCAGUAGUUUAGAGAAGCCUGGUAGAACUUUAAAAGUAGGCAAUACUGAGAUUCAAAUACAUGGUCCAUCUGAAAGAGAAAGUGUUCUUUCUUCUGUCUUUCAUGAGUUCACUGAUGUUAUUGUGGUGGAUUAUACAGUGCCUGAUGCUGUGAACGUCAAUGCUGAUCUUUACUGCAAACUUGGUAUCCCUUUUCUUAUGGGGACUACUGGUGGAGACAGGCAAAUGUUGUACAAAACAGUCCAAGAUGCAAAUGUUUAUGCAGUAAUCUCUCCGCAAAUGGGAAAACAGGUUGUAGCAUUUCUUGCAGCCAUGGAUAUCAUGGCCGAUCAGUUUCCUGGAGCAUUUUCGGGCUAUACGCUUGAGGUGAUGGAGUCGCACCAAGCGAGCAAACUGGAUACUUCUGGCACAGCUAAAGCUGUCAUUUCAUGUUUUCAGAAGCUUGGUGUCACAUUUGACAUGAAGCAGAUUAAACAGAUCAGAGACCCUAAGAAGCAACUUGAGAUGGUGGGUGUCCCCGAAGAGCACCUCUCUGGUCAUGCAUUUCACAUGUAUCAUCUCACAUCACCUGAUGAAACAGUUUCUUUUGAGUUCCAGCAUAACGUCUGUGGUCGCUCUAUCUAUGCCGAGGGAACCAUUGAUGCUGCCAUUUUUCUGUUCAAGAAGGUCCAGUCCAAGGCUGACAAAAGAAUAUAUGACAUGAUCGAUGUCUUGCGAGAAGGAAACAUGCGAUGAUAAAUUUUUGGCCGUGAGCUGUAUUUGCAGUUUGGGUCUUAAAGUUAGUCUUGUAUCUGAAGUUUAGAUUGGAUCAACAGGACUUGGAAAUUGAUGAUAACUGAGAUUUUAUCUGCAGAUC